GCUGCCAGGAAUAACCCGGUGCGUCCACAGACCGGGAGGGGAGGCGGCCGCUGCGGCUCCCGCACGCAGACUACUGCGGCCCGGGCCUCGCGGGCCCCUCCCGAGCCCGGUGGCCCCUGCCCCGGGCCCAUCUCCAUACCGUGUCAGAAAAAUAAAUAAAGGGAAGAGGAGCCUGGGCAGGCGGUCGGGAUCGCUUCCCUCCCUCCGCGCCCGCCCUCCCUCUGUCCUUAAGGAAAUGCUACCAGACACCCCCCACCAGACACGCUCAGCCUUGGCGAGGAGCGGCCGCCGCGGCAGCGAGAACAAGGGCACCAGGGGGGUUUCCUCCCCCUCCUCCUCUCCCUCCUCUUCCUCCUCCUCCUCACCGUCCUCCUCCUCCUUCUUCUCAGCGGUGACUUUCCAGGUGAGCGGCCGCCGCUGCUGCUGCGAGGAUCCCCCUCGCCCGCUUGGGCUCGGGCCGCCGCGUCGCGCCCUCCUCCCGCCCCUGUCACCCGGCGGCGGCCGGGAGCUGACAGCCGCCCGAGGGGCUCGCGGCCCGGAGGCUGGCGGCCGGCGGGAGGUGGGCUGGAGGUGAGGGGGUGGAGAGGAGGCGAGCGGGGCGCCGCCGAGCGCUGUCUCUCCCCGCCGGAGGAGGGUCUCCACAGGAACAUCUUCGGUGACUGUGGCACAAGUCUUGGCCAAGUUGUGUCCUGGACGUUGAAGCUCCCGGGAGCCCGGAGCAACUUGGAGGGUCUCCCGGCCAGUUAACCAUAUUCCUGCACGUCUCGACUUUGGGGUGCUGGGUGCAGCCUUGGGGUGCGUGGACAGACCGUUCGGGCGAGCAGAGCGGCGGGAAUCUAGGUUCCUCGGCUCGAUUGGCGAACUUACCUGAGAAAUUGAGACUCAAGAUUGUGAGAAUGUGUGACUAGGACCGAAAGCAGAUUUCCAGGUGGAGUCUUUGAAUUUUUUAAAAGACGAUGGUAAUCAGAUCUACUUGAAAAAUUAAGUGAAUUGAUUUGUUUGGAACACUCUUUUACCAGUUCUUUAACAUUUAACCACUGGGGGAAGUGGUAUGAUGUGUGUUCUCCACAGGAAAUGGAAAACGGCGGCUGAACUCUGUGAGCACAGGUAUGGAGCAGGCCGGGGCUGCUCCAGCGGACUCUCCUUGAUGGGCACGACCCAUGAUUUUCUGCAGAAAGGC